rnacentral:lncRNA from 1 species
UUUUUAUCAAUUAAAAAUCGUUGCUGUUAAAAUAUGCCAACCCUUUACAAAACAUUUUAAUACACAAUGCACUUUUUAUUUUUUAAAAAUUUCCAAUUUACAAACAUGUUGCAAAGAUAGUUACAGAGAAUUUCCAUAUACCCCACACAUAGUUCCCUCUGCUAUUAAUCUUAUAGUCACAUGAUGCAGUUGUCACAAGAAUUGAUGUAAUAUUUACUAAUCAACGAUGAGCCAAUAUUGAUUCAAUGACCCAAUCGUGAUACAAUAUGAUUUUUUUUUUUUUGAGACUGAGUCUCGCUCUGUCGUCCGAGCUGGAGUGCAGUGGUAUGAUCUCGGCUCACUGCAACCUCUGCCCCCUGAGUUCAAGCGAUUCUCCUGCCUCAGCCUCCUGUGUAGCUGGGAUUACAGGUGUGUGCCACCACGCCUGGCUAAUUUUUUGUAUUUUUAGUAGAGAUGAAGUUUUGCCAUGUUGGCCAGGCUGGUAUCGAAUUCCUGACCUCAGGUGAUCCACCCACCUCGGCCUCCCAAAGUGUUGGGAUUACAAGUGAGCCACCUCGCCCGGCUGAUACAAUAUGAUUAACUAAAGUCCCUACUAUAUUCAGAUUUCCUUAUUUUUUUACCUAAUGUUCAUUUUCUAUGCCAGGACACCAUCCGUCGUACCUCAUUACAUGUACUCAUCACAUCUCCUGGGGCACAUCUUGUCUCCGACAGUUUCUCAGAUUUUCUUUACUUUUUGACAAACUUGACAGUUGUGAGUUGUACUGAUCCGGUGUUUUGUAGAGUGUCUUCCACUGGGAUUUGUCUGAUGUUUUCCUCAUGGCUUGACAGGGGUGAUGGGUUUGGAGAGGAAGACCACAGAGGUGACAUGCCUUCUUGUCACCUCAGAUCCAGCAUAUUAACAUCAGUAGGCGCUAUCAUCAUUGGUGCAGAGCUAGAUGAUCUGGCUAGAAGAGUGUCCAUCAGAUGUCUCCACUAUACAACUGUUCCCUUUCCCUCCUGCCCACACCGAACUCUUUGGCAAGAAGUCACUGUGGGAAGCCCACACCUGAGGGGUUGGGGAGCUUUCUCUACAUCUUUUUGAGAGUGGAGUUUCUACAUAAAUUAUGUGGAAUCAUUCCGCAUGAGAGAUUGGUCUCUUUCACCUUACUUAUUUGUUAGUUUGCCUGUAUAUUUAUUUGUUUAACCAUGUAUUUCUGCCCGUAUAGACUCAUGGAUGUUUGUUUUACGCUUGGUUGUCAUACAAUACUCCUUUGUUUCUUUCAUUGUUCUCAUUGCUCUGGCUUUGGCCAUUGGGAGCUCUUUCAGUUGGUUCUUGUUUCUCCGUAACAUAGUCCCAUCCUUGUUGGUUUGCUAUGAGCACUUCCUUACUUUAUAGCACUGCAAGCUGCUCCUGGCUCAUCUUGCAUAUUUCCUGCCCCAGUCUUGGAGUCAGACUUUUCUCCUGGUUCUGUUUAUUAGAGAAAGGCAUGAGAAAUCAAAUUUCAGGCAUCAGGUGCAGUCAUUGCUAUGAGGGUACCAUUGCUUCCAGGCCUCCUCAUCUGAGGAGCAAGGGAAUGUACAUGUGUGUUCUGACCCGAGUAUGUGCAUGAAUCCAUAAAUAUUCUCUAUGUAACCAUCUGUGUCUAUAAUGAGCUAAACCUGAGUUCUUACUGAUGGCUCCAGCUCUCAUCCAUUGCCAUGUGGAUCAUUAGAGCCUCUUCUCCCUGCUUCUCUGUACACCCCCACUCCAACAUGGUAAAACUUAGCACCCAUUUUCUGCUGCUGUUUACUUGGUUUCUCAGUUUUAGUGCACCUGUAGAGCGGUAUUAGAAUUGUUAACCCAUACCCUUAUGGGAAAUAACUUUAUCAGUCAGAGUGCAGUGCUAUGUACAGUGUCUUUUACCCUUAGUCUACAGACUCUAUCCAUUUCCAAAGUUACUUACAUAGCUCUUUCUCUAUCCGUUUCCCAAAGUUACUUAAGCAGCUCCUUCUCUUUCCGUUUCCCAAAGUUAGUUAAGGAGCUCCCUCUCUAUCCAUUUCCAAAGUUACCUAUGUAGCUCUUCUAUCCAUUUCCAAAGUUACUUUUGUAGCUCCUUCUCUAUCCAUUUCCCAAAGUUACUUAUGUAGCUCCUUCUCUAUCCAUUUCCAAAGUUACUUAAGUAGCUCCUUCUCUAUCCAUUUCCAGUUGCUUAAGAUAGCUCCUUCUUUCAGUAAGCUUCUUUCACACAUCAGUAAUACAGUUGAACUCUUGCUGUUGUGUUCAUUCCAACCUCACAUCCCUUCACCACUUAAAGUUAUUUUUAAAAAUAGGCUGGGCACAGUGGCUCAUGCCUGUAAUCCCAGCACUUUGGGAGGCCAAGGUGGGUGGAUAAUUGGAGGUCAGGAAUUUGAGACCAGCCUGGCCAACAUGGUGAAACCCCAUCUCUACUAAAAUACAAAAAUUAGCAGUGCGCGGUGGUGCAUGCCUGUAAUCCCAGCUACUUGGGAGGCUGAGACAUGAGAAUCACUUGCACCAGGAGGUGGAGGUUGCAGUGAGCCGAGGUUGCACUACUGCACUCCAGCCUGGGUGACAGGGUGAGAUUCUCUCAAAAAAUAAUAAUAAUAAUGAUUUUUAUUCAUUAAUAUUCAUUUCUUGUUUUGUAAAGACAUGUAAGUUUUGAUAAAAGCAUGGUGUCAUGUAUUUGCUAUUGCAAUAUCAUGCAGAACAGUUCACCAUCCUAAAGAUGUACAAUACUUCAUCUGUUCAGUACUUCCUCCACAGAAGCUCUGACAACUCCCGAUCUCUUCACCCAUCUGUCUAGUUGUGUCUUUUCCGUUAGUCAUAUAAUUGAAAUCACGUGGUCUGCUACCACUUCAGACCGACUUCUUCAACGGAGCAAUAUACAUUUAAGUUUCUUUUGUGUGUUUUUUGUGGCUUGAUGGCUCAUUUAUUUUUAUUGCUGAAUAAUAUUUCAUUGUACAACGUAACAGGAUUUGUUUAUCCAUUCACCUACCAAAGGGUAUCUUGGUUGCUCUCAGCUUUUGAUGAUUAUGGAGAAAGUUGCUAUAAACAUUCAUGUGAGGUUUUUUUUUUUUUUUGCAUGUGAACAUAUGUUUUGAAAUCAGGUAAUAUCUAAGAGGAUGAUUGCCAGAUUGUAUGUUAAGACCAUAUGCAACUUUGUAAGAAAUAGCCAACAUGUCUUUUAAAGUGACUGGAUCAUUUUGCAUUCCCUCCAACAAAACAUGAGUGUUUCUGUUUCUCCACAUCCUCAUCAAUAUUUGGUAAUGUCAGUGUUUAGGAUUUUAGCCAUUCUAAUAGGUGUGUGUGGUAACUUAUUAUUGCUUUAAUUUUUAAUUAUUUAAUAAAAAAUGAUUGUGAGCAUUUUAUAUGAUUAUUUCCCACCUGUAUAUGUUCUCUAAUGAGAUAGCUGUUCAGGACUAUUGCCCAUUUUUUUAAAUUGGAAACUUAGUUGGCAUUUUACAAUUUGCAUUUUCUCAUUGUUUUGAGUCAAAUUUUGUGUAAGAUGUGAAAUUUGUACCUGGAUUCUUUUUUUUCCCCAUUAAAUUGCCUUCAAUGCCUUUGUCAAAAAUCAGUUGACCAUAUUUGUAUGGGUCUAUGUACGGACUCUACAUUCUGUCCACUGAUCUAUUAUUUUUCCAAAUCUGCUUUUAUUCCCGUAGCUUUAUAAUAAUUCUUGAAAUUGGGCAAAGUGAUUCUGCCAACUUUUUUUUCUUCAGUAUGGUUUUGACUAUUUUAUGUCUUUUGCAUUUCUAUAUAAAUUUUGGAAUCAAAUUUGUUAAUUUCUACAAAAUAUAUUACUAGGGCUUUGACUGGAAUUGUGUUAAAUCUAUAGAUCAAUUUGAAGAGUAUUGAUAUUGUAAUGAUGCUGACUAUUCUGAUUCACUAACACAGAACAUGCCUCUAUUUAGUUCUUCUUCGAUUUCUUUCAUUGCUGUUUGAUGCUCUUCCACAUACAGAUCCUGGACUUAUUUUGUUAGAUUUAUACCUAAGUACUUCAUUUUUAUUGGUGUUAUCAUAAAUUAUUUUUAAAAUUUUUCUGAUUUGAAAUGCUCAAUACUAAUAUGUAGUAAAGCAAUUGACUUUUGUAGAUUAACUUUAUUCUGCUAUACUCACUUACUGGUUCAAAGAAUUUCAAAGUUUUAUCAUGUCAACUAAUAAUAAAAGCAGAUGUAGUUCUUCCUUA